rnacentral:rRNA from 1 species
GACAGAGGGGGCAAGCGUUGUUCGGAUUUACUGGGCGUAAAGGGCGCGUAGGCGGCCACCGCAAGUCGACUGUGAAAUCUCCGGGCUUAACCCGGAAAGGUCAGCCGAUACUGCGGGGCUAGAGUGCAGAAGGGGCAACUGGAAUUCUCGGUGUAGCGGUGAAAUGCGUAGAUAUCGAGAGGAACACCUGCGGCGAAGGCGGGUUGCUGGGCUGACACUGACGCUGAAGCGCGAAAGCUAGGGGAGCGAACGGG